CAAUAGAACAUCAAUAAUGUGCCUCUUUUUUUGUUUGUUCCACGUCAGCUCUCGACAGCAAGGCUCCGAAGGCAGAGGACAUCGAGGAAGAGGAUGAUGAUGUUCCAGAUCUGGUGGAGAACUUCGACGAAGCGUCGAAGAACGAAGCGAACUGACACAUGAGAUUCAUGUGGACUGGACUGCGAGGAAGCCAGAAAACCUUCCCCCUGUGUUUUAAAGUCUAGUUAUCCAGACAUAUCAGACACUAUCCCUGAAAACCCCAGAGACUUUUCUAUUUUGUGAUGACCCACGGAUGUCCCAGUCAGACUGACUUGUGCACUUAAAAAAAAAAUGAGAGAGAAAAGGUAAACGGUUAAAUCCCUUCAACCACAUUGUCAGUCAUCGUCAGGAUCACAGUGGUCAUUAAAGCAAGUCUUAAGACAUUUUUGUUUGUUUGUUUAUGAAACAAAAUAAAGGUGAUUAACAUUUUUUA